rnacentral:lncRNA from 1 species
GUGAAUUAGAUUUUCAAAAUCUUAGAGCAAGGAUGUGCUGUUUUUCAAAAUAAUUAAAUAAAAUACUGUGAGUGUAUAGUAAAUGCAGUGAAUAGUAGCGAAAAUAAAUCAAUAACAAACUAAAUAAGUAUAUAAAGCAAGUAAACACAAGCAGUAUACCACACAAACAUAAAAGAUUUAUAAUGGUUUAGUGUACUUCAAGUAUCUACGUUCACUCUUCAAGCUCCACUUGAGAAUUUUUACUAUAAUCCGAGGUUACAGUUAGGGGUGGCAAAUAGGUC